GGGAGUUGGUGGGGUUUUUUUGGUUGUGGUUUGAUUUAUUUGUAUUUUUAUCCUUCCAGCUGAGAGCAUUGAUUUGAAGCUGUAUCCUGAAAUGCUGAGACCAUUGGUGAGCUGUAGGAGGCCUUCAGCAAUGACCAGCUUUACUCCAGAAGGAAAAGAGCCACAGGCAGCGGGCAGUGCUGGGGACAACCUACUCUCCCUUCUGGAGCUCCAACUGGAUCACUGGCACCAGGUUUUAAAGGUCUUCUGCUGUUUCUGGGGUUGCAAAAGGAACAUCCAGCUAUCAAGUCAGUGCCCCAUCUUGAAUUUUUAUAUAUCCCUCUUCAUCUUAAAAGGAACUGUACACCUGGAGGUGCCUCAGUGUGGUCAGUGCAACGAGCUGGGCACAGUGCUGAGCAAAGAUUGUAUCUCCUUUCUCUAGAAAGUCAGACCCUAUUGUUACACACAAAGUCCCCAAAUCCUUGGUGUCUCCUUUGCCCAAGCAUGAGAUCAUUACCUGUUGUGUGGGGGUAAGCUGGGUCCCUUAGUGAGGAAAAGCCAACAGCACCAGGCUUCAAAAAAGACCGGAGAUUCUAAGUGACUUUCAAGAGCGUGGCUGGGGUUCUGCUAGCUGUUCUCCAGUUCUGGGCUGCUUCCAGGUCCUGGUGAUAGGUAUUGCAUUCAGCAGGAGCUCUAGCAGCCAGUCCAUCAGAGCAGCAGUGUAUAAAUCAGGAGAUGGAUGCAAAGAGUCAUUAAGGGUGAGGAGCUGGCUUUAGGAGUAUGUUUGCACCCAUCUGAAACCUGUCCACUGUCUGAGAUGUUAAGCCAUAUUCUGAGCUUCACAUCAUUGUGUUGUGUUCUUUCUCUCCAUUGAGUUUGCAUAAAGAACAAGCCUUUGGGGUAGAACUUUUCUGCCUUUGACACUCCCAACUCAUUCUUGCAAGUUUAUAUUUGUUGGUUUUGUUGUUGAGUAACCAGUAAUAAAUAAUCUUUUGGUCAAGACUCUUAAAAUGGG
rnacentral:lncRNA from 1 species